rnacentral:tRNA from 1 species
AUAUAAAUAAGCUAAUCAAGCUUUUAGGUUCAUACCCUAAAUAUAUUAAUUCAACUUUUUUUUCUAUA